UUCUUGACAGAUUUUUAACUGUUGCAUGUCCAUGUUCAACAUCAUCUAUUCAACUGGCAAUCUCACUACUCAGGAGUUGAAUAUGAGUAUCAUCAAAAGCCAUUCAACAAGUGCUCUGCUCAAAGUUAUGACAAUUCAUCUUUUGACAAUGCCAGUGAGCAGUUAUCUCAUGUCCAAUCCACAAAGAAUUGCACUCAUUUGAUCAUUGAUUUUGAGCCUCCUUCAGCUGCUGGCUAGUGGCUGUGGAUCUUGUAUGUGUAGGCAGCAGCUUUUUGUCAUUGAAUAUUUCAUGAAUUUGAGGGGAUUUGGCAGGAUGAUAGAGAGGGGAUUUGGCAGGUGGACUGUGUAUUACAGAGGUGUUUGAGGAUAGAGUUG
rnacentral:sRNA from 2 species